CUUGAAGGCUUUGACAAUCAAGAAAGAGGCAGAAGCAUGCAGAUGAAUGCUGGCCUGAAGGCAGGAUGUGGCCACCAAAGAGACACAAGGCUUCAGUUGGGAGAGACAUAGCACCAUAUGGGCAUAACCAGCAUCUUGCUGCACAAAUUAAAGAAAUAAAGCCCUUUUUCAAAACUGA